UGAGGAAUAUUGCACAAUGGGGGCAACCCUGAUGCAGCGACGCCGCGUGGGUGAUGAAGGUUUUCGGAUCGUAAAGCCCUUUUCUGCAUGACGAGCACAGGACGGUAGUGCAGGAAUAAGUGUCGGCUAGCUACGUGCCAGCAGCCGCGGUAAAACGUAGGACACAAGCGUUAUCCGGAAUUACUGGGCGUAAAGGGCGUGCAGGCGGUUGCGUAAGUUAGGCGUGAAAGACUUCGGCUAAACCGGGGGAGGUCGUCUGAUACUGCGCAACUAGAGUAUGGUAGAGGCGUGUAGAAUUCCGGGUGUAGUGGUGAAAUGCGUAGAGAUCCGGAGGAAUACCAGUGGCGAAGGCGGCACGCUGGGCCAUAACUGACGCUAAGACGCGAAAGCAUGGGUAGCGAACGGGAUUAGAUACCCCAGUAGUCCCUGAGCGGGCUGGCAAGGCGCAU
rnacentral:rRNA from 1 species